AGGAAUGUAGCUUAGUGGUAGAACAUCUGCUUUGCAUGCAGAAGGUCCUGGUUCAAUCCCCUGUAUGUUGCA
rnacentral:tRNA from 1 species